GAUGAACGCUGGCGGCGUGCCUAAUACAUGCAAGUCGAGCGAACAGACGAGGAGCUUGCUCCUCUGACGUUAGCAGCGGACGGGUGAGUAACACGUGGAUAACCUACCUAUAAGACUGGGAUAACUUCGGGAAACCGGAGCUAAUACCGGAUAAUAUAUUGAACCGCAUGGUUCAAUAGUGAAAGACGGUUUUGCUGUCACUUAUAGAUGGAUCCGCGCCGCAUUAGCUAGUUGGUAAGGUAACGGCUUACCAAGGCGACGAUGCGUAGCCGACCUGAGAGGGUGAACGGCCACACUGGAACUGAGACACGGUCCAGACUCCUACGGGAGGCAGCAGUAGGGAAUCUUCCGCAAUGGGCGAAAGCCUGACGGAGCAACGCCGCGUGAGUGAUGAAGGUCUUCGGAUCGUAAAACUCUGUUAUUAGGGAAGAACAAAUGUGUAAGUAACUAUGCACGUCUUGACGGUACCUAAUCAGAAAGCCACGGCUAACUACG
rnacentral:rRNA from 1 species